rnacentral:rRNA from 1 species
AUUAUUACCAGUAUUCGAUACUGGGUUAUUCACAGCAUUACUAUUCCUUCCUUAUUCAUUGCGGGUUGGUUAUUCGUCAGCCCGGCUUUCACUUGGAAAAAUAGGAGAUUUAGUUCCACGCCUAGAUUCCGCGAUAAGUUCUGA